CUCUUUCUUCCACGCCCUAAAAGAUCCCCAAAAUUCUCUCUAUUUCUUCUAACAGAGAAAUGAAGAAACAACAAGAAGAAGAAUAUAUGGAAGGAGUUGAUGUUGUUAGAAGAAGAAAAGUCGUUGUUAAUUCUAAAAAGUCGUUUCAAAUACAGAAUCAUGAGAAGAAAAGAAAAUGGGUUUGAAUCGGAUACUCAGUAUAGGGCGGAGUCGGAAAUGGAGUUUUUAUGGCAGGAAAGUUUGCUUGGUUCCAUCAGUUGAUCCCUUGUUUUAAUUCCUACCAUAUACCUGAUCAAUUGUUUAACCGAUCACUACCAUCUAAGGAAAUGUUAUCUGACAACUUCUCCAAGAUCUACUGACAGAUCUGGAGAGAAACUGAUCAGAAAGGCAUUAAAUAGUCGCUGUGAAGAUCGGAAAAAAGAAAUAAAUAAGAAAUCACAAGAAUAUAUAUCCAUAUCAACGCAAAACAACAACAUCAAUCUGUGCAUCGGAGGUGUUUGAAUUAUCUACCAAAGCAGCUGAAUCUAAUGAAAGAAGAACUAUGAUGAUCUAAGGGAAGAGAAUUUAUGUGCUUUCAGCUCAUUAUGAUCCAUGUAAAGAGGAUGAAGCUGUGCAGAAAAAACAUCUACAACCUUAAAGAGUGCAACUGUUUCUUGGACUAGAAUCUGUUGGCGCUUUUCAAGUAUGGUUUUCCAAGUUGCCCUAACUUUAAGAGUUGCUGUUGAACUGACUAUUUCCGAGGGAUUUGCGCUGACAAAGGGUUUCCGGCUUCUGAACAGCGCAGACUCAUUUGUAGAGGUUAGUGAUUCUGGCACAGGAGAACAAGUGCUUGUAGCUGCAAGAGAGGGUUCAUCUCGAGUGAUGCAUAAAGGAUUUGAAAGAGAGGUUUGCAAGGGUUAGUCUGAUGUCUCAUAACCCUGUCUCCGAGACCCUUGAAGGAAAUGGAUCCAAUUUCCUAGAUAAACUGAAGGUCUCAACUGGUGGCUUAGUUUGUGUUGAGAAACAACUCCCAAUGGUCGAUGUGUUUUUCGGGUGUAGGUUGUGAAGCUUCCUCUGGUAAUUACAAAGUUGCUUGAUGAAAGCUCUAUCUAAACAACAAACUGUUGGCGAUGCAUAAAGAAGAGAAUUCAGUUUUAGAUGAUAGUCCAGUAACACUUCAAAAACGGAUGAGGGAUGUUGUGCAGGAUCAUGCUGCGAGUGAAAAACUCGGCAAGGAUAAUGCUGAAAAAUGUAGAAAUGUGUGGCUUCAGUUUAUGUGGAGAAUCUGGGCUCUUUGACCUAGGCACGUUGGUCCUAAUAUUCUUCUUGUUCCAAAAGCCAAAGAAGAGAAUGAUCACCAUUCAGUUCUAACUCGAGGUUCUCCUCUUACAUCUCAAAGAUUAAGUUUUGCCGAUGAAAAGACUAGUGAUGAAGAUGUGGCUUUAGAAAAAUCUAAAAUCUGUAGAAACAAGCAGUUCCCUCUUUAUGGAGGAAGAGAGUCUCAAGAGCAGUGUUUUAUCUGGGUUUCAGCUUGCUACUAGAGCUGGACCAUUAUGUGAUGAGCCUAUGCAGAGAUCGACCUUUAUUGUUGAAGCUAAUGUUAUUCCAGUGGUUAAUCAAUCCGGUGAAUCUGUUGUUUCUACUUAACUUGCAGAAAAUCUUGGCUUGUAGAAGCCAGGUACCUGAACACCCCAACUGAACAUUUGAGCUCCAUGUAUGCUGUUCUGUCUAAGAGACCUGACCGGGUUUUGAAGGAAGAGAUGCAACAAGGGUCUUAUGUGUUCAUAGUGCACGCAUGUAAUUGAACAUCUGACUUUUGGAAAAAGAAAGAUGGAUGUCAAAAUUGGUAAAUGCAUGUGGCUAUAGUAACUGCAGCAUGUUUCUCAUAACUUCAUGUGGCUACAGUACUGCAGCGUGUUUCCCAUAACUUCUGAAUAUGGAGAUAACCCAAUAUUCUUGACCCUCAGUGUAGGAUAAUGUCUUAAAGCUGGACUCUACAAUUUACCCAGAAGAAGAUUUCAACGAUAUUCUUGAUGAAAAAGAGGAGGAUGGGGAACCAUUAGUAGAAUAUGUUGAAAUGGAAGAUGAUGAACUUGAAAUGGAAGAUGACGAACUUGAAAUAGAAGAUGACAUGGAAGAUUCUGGUCUUGAUGGUUCUCUUGAAGAUGAUGAUGAUAUUGGAAAUGAGGACGAUGAUGAAGAUACUGCUGACCGAAAGAGAUCACUAAAAGAGUCUGGAGUAGUGUGCUAGAAAAAAGAUACGUAUGAUGUUAAGUUGAGAAGGAAGAAGAGUCGGGUACAUGUUGAUCAGGUUGAGAAUGAUGCUGCUGGCGAAAGCCAGGCAAGAGUCCACUUGAGAAUAUCGAGUAGUAUAGGCUGUAUAAAUGACAUUGACCAGCUCACUUUAAAGCCCCGAUUUAAUUUUCUUGAUUUUAUAUGAGAAGAGAAAUUUCCUGUUUGGUCCAAAGAUCCGACCCGGGAGUAGUGUCUAGUCCAGCGGGAUAGAACAAUUAUCCGCUAGUCCAAAAAGGUUUAAAAUCCUAGAAAAUUACUAGCCUACCCUCAACAUUCAUGUGUGGGUUAAAACUGUCUCCUCCCACUUCUUCUUCUUCUGCCUUGAAGAAAAAACCGACUGCAACUCCUUCAUCUGAAAAACGAUUUCGGAAAUCAUUAAUUACAGAAAAAUCAUCAGUUCCUGACCUAAUCAAUUACAUAAAUCAUCAGUUCCUGACCUAAUCAAUUACAUAAUCAUCAGUUCCUAACCUAAUUUUUAUUCAUUCAAUUAAAGAGAAAAAAUGGUUAGAACUAUCAAGCGGACAAUUACAGAAGAAAUUGUAGAAGAAACCCAGGUAAAAAGAAGAAGAAAAAAUGUUGAUGAUUCACCAACACAAUCCUCCCCUGCGGCUAAAUCUCCGACAACAAGGAGUAUGAGUAAAAUUGGUACUCCGUCACGAACAAAUGUUCCUCAGGUAGAAGGUAAGCAAAAAUCAGAAGAAAGUAAAGCCUAAUUUUGUACUUCAUAUUGACAUGCAAUACUUAGAAAACUGUUGUUGAAUUUCAUAUUGACAUGCAAUACAUAUCAAUAUGUAAUGCUGAUGAAAAACUGUAGAUAUGU